ACGCACGCUGGCGGCGUGCUUAACCCAUGCAAGUCACACGGAAAGGCCCUGCUUUUGUGGGGUGCUCGAGUGGCGAACGGGUGAGUAACACGUGAGUAACCUGCCCUUGACUUUGGGAUAACUUCAGGAAACUGGGGCUAAUACCGGAUAGGAGCUCCUGCUGCAUGGUGGGGGUUGGAAAGUUUCGGCGGUUGGGGAUGGACUCGCGGCUUAUCAGCUUGUUGGUGGGGUAGUGGCUUACCAAGGCUUUGACGGGUAGCCGGCCUGAGAGGGUGACCGGCCACAUUGGGACUGAGAUACGGCCCAGACUCCUACGGGAGGCAGCAGUGGGGAAUAUUGCACAAUGGGCGGAAGCCUGAUGCAGCAACGCCGCGUGCGGGAUGACGGCCUUCGGGUUGUAAACCGCUUUCGCCUGUGACGAAGCGUGAGUGACGGUAAUGGGUAAAGAAGCACCGGCUAACUACGUG
rnacentral:rRNA from 1 species